rnacentral:rRNA from 1 species
GAAUCUGCCUUUAGGUCCGGGACAACCACUGGAAACGGUGGCUAAUACCGGAUGUGCCGCAACGUGAAAGGGGAAACCCGCCUGAAGAUGAGCUCGCGUCUGAUUAGCUAGUUGGUGAGGUAAAGGCUCACCAAGGCGACGAUCAGUAGCUGGUCUGAGAGGAUGACCAGCCACACUGGGACUGAGACACGGCCCAGACUCCUACGGGAGGCAGCAGUGGGGAAUUUUCCGCAAUGGGCGAAAGCCUGACGGAGCAAGACCGCGUGAGGGAAGAAGGCUCUUGGGUCGUAAACCUCUUUUGUCAGGGAAGAACACAAUGACGGUACCUGACGAAUCAGCCUCGGCUAACUCCGUGCCAGCAGCCGCGGUAAUACGGAGGAGGCAAGCGUUAUCCGGAAUUAUUGGGCGUAAAGCGUCCGUAGGUGGCUAGUCAAGUCUGCGGUCAAAGACUGGGGCUUAACCCUGGAAAGGCCGUGGAAACUGACGAGCUAGAGUGCAGUAGGGGUAGAGGGAAUUCCCGGUGUAGCGGUGAAAUGCGUAGAGCUCGGGAAGAACAUCGGUGGCGAAAGCGCUCUACUGGACUGCAACUGACACUCAGGGACGAAAGCUAGGGGAGCG